GGAACCGGAAUUGAUACUACCAAACCAGGACUGACCGGAACCGGAAUGAAACCGGGCACCACAAGCCGGUACCGUACCAGAAUCGGGACAGACCUGUUAGCAAUUUGUGUUUGAAGAACAGAAUUACUGAUUCCAACAAAAUUUGCAGAAAUACGAAGUUACCAAAGUCCAAGUAAUCAGUAAGAAAGAUGAUCAUAAAUUAAUUCACAAAAAACUAAAAUAUGUAAACGUACCAAAAUCAGGAAACUUAGAACAGGAAAAAAAUCAAGCUCAAUGAAUGCACAAUGUCUAGUAUCCGAGGUUUGAUUUGGAAUAUGUUCUCUCAGGAUAGAACGAUCUCAAUCACCAACGUAUUGAUACUUAAGACUCUGGAGUCAGUGAACCACUCAACAACAGUAAAGUACACGAAGAAACUUAGAAGGAGAAAUCAGAAAAAUUUGCAACGAAAAAAUCUGAAGAAUCAAUGUAUCUAUAGACAAGAGGAACUAGUUCUGAAAGGUUGCAAUCUUUUCAAAAUCCACACGAACAUUCAUGAAAGUUGCAAUCUUUCAAACAGUCAUUGUAGUUCCUGAAAGUUGCAACCUUUCAGAACGGUCACUUUCAACGGCGGAAAAUUAAAUAAAACGGGAAAGAAUUUAAACAAAAUGGGUUGCACACGGAUCCGUGUUAAUUGAAACGUUUUGGUUAAUUAACUAAAUAAUUAAAACGUAUUUGCCAUUUAAUUUAAUUUAAUUUGAUUAAUUAAAUAAAUAAUUAAUAAUCUCACGAUCGAUCAUUUUCCAAAGUCAAAGCCGAAGCCGAGCUAACGACGACGACGACGCUAGGGUGUCCCUCUUUCCAACCCUUUUAACAAUUAAUAAGAGUGUUUCUAUAUUUAAACUCUCCUAUUUUUCUUUCAACCAGCUAUGAGGGACAAAUGUUUUUUUCACUAAAGCAUAAGAGGACUUUUCAAGUUCCUCUCUUUUCAUCUUCCCUCAAUUUCUCAUUAACUCUUGCUACAUAAUCGGUAGUUCCGGAUAAAGGAAGGAGUAGCCGUCCCGAUCCGCUAAGGAACCGGGACAGGAACGGACCAGCUUAGCGGGACUCUAAUGGCUACUUUUUUUUAAAAAAAAAAAAUUAAUUUAAAAAAAAUUAAUUAUUAAAAUUAAAAACAGGCUAACUUUUUUUAAAAAAAUUAAUUAUUAAUUAAAUAAUAUUAGAACUUUUAUAAUUUCAAAGUUAAAAAUUUAUACUUUUCAAACUUUUAAAAUGUGAAAUUUAAAAUUUUUAUAAUUAUCGUUUGAAAGUUUGAAUUUUAAUUAUAGUUUGAAUUUAAAUUUAACAUUUUAUAUUUAUAAUUUGAAAGUUUGAAUUUAAAUUUAAAAUUAUAUACUUACAGUUUGAAAGUUUGAAUUUUACAAUCUUUCAAACUUUAAAGUUUUACAAACUUUUAAACUUUAAAGUUUAAAAGUAUAAAAGUUUAAAUUUCUAUGAUCUCAACGGACUACCAUGAAAAAUUUCAGCUUUGGGAAUUUUGGAUCACAAAAAUUUCAUGGACUAUAUCACACGAUAAUCGACAAAAUCUCCAUAUAACUUCUUUGUGGCUCAUUUGAAAUUGAAAAUGCGCUUGUGUUCCGUGCGGAAAGAACUUUGUCCAUUCCUAAGGUCUUAAUGGACGUCCAAGAAAAUCUUUUGCCAUUUCGUUUCAAAAAUUCCCGGUCACAAAAAUUUCAUGGACUAUCGAACACGAAGAUCGGUAAAAUUUUCGUAUACCUUCUUUGGGGCUCGUUUAAACUUGAAAUGCAUCUGUUUUUCCCGCGUGACGAACAUGAUCCAUUUCUAAGGUCUUAACAAACGUCCAAGAAAAAAAUCGGUCAUUUCGUUUUGGGAAUGGCAGGUCACAAAAAUUAUAUGGACUAUAAGACACACAAAUCGAUAAAAUUUGCGUUUACAUGCUUUGGGGCUCGUUUGAACUUGAAAAUGAACAUAUUUUUCUAUGGGACAAACUAGGUCCAUUCAUAAGGUCUUAAAAGACGUCCACAAAAAAUUCUGGCUAUUUCGUUGUGGAUAUUCCGUGUAAAAAAUAUUCAUAGACUAUAGCACAUGAAAAUCAAAAGAAUCGGCGUUUACUUGCUUUGGACUCGUUUGUACUUGAAAAUGCACUUAUUUUUCCCGCGAGAGAAACUAGGUCCAAUCCUAAGAUCUUAACGGACGUCCACAAAAAAUUUCGGCUAUUUAAUUUUAGAAAUUCUGGGUCACAAAAAUCCAUGGAAUAACACAUGAAAAUCGGCAAAAUCUGCGUUUACAUAUUUGGAGCUCAUUUGAACUUGAAAAUGCGUCUGUUUUUAUCGGGGGACAAACUAAGUACAUUGCUAAGGUCUUAGUGGACGUGCACGAAAGUUUUUGGUCAUUUCGUUUCGAAAAUUUCGGGUCACAAAAAUUUCAUUGGACACGAAAAUGGGUAAAAUCUGCGUUUAUCUGCUUUGGGGCACGUUUGAACUUGACAAAAUGCGCUUGUUUUUCCCACGGGACAAAUUGGUUACAUUCCGAAGAUCUUAACAGACAUCUACAAAAAUUUUGGCUAGUUCAUUUCGAAAAUUCUGGAUCACAAAAAUUUCAUGGACUAUGAACACAAGAAUUGGCAAAAUCUGCGUUUACCUAUUUUAUGGCUCAUUUAAAAUUAAAAUGUGUCCGUUUUCCCCGUGAGAUGAACAUAGUCCAUUCAUAAGGUCUUAACGAACGUUCAAGAAAAAUUUCGGUCAUUUUGUUUUGGAAAUUGCGGGUCACAAAAAUUAUGUGGACUAUAAGACAUGAAACUUCGCAAAAUCUGCGUUUACAUGUUUUGGGGCUUGUUUAAACUUAAAAAUGCAUCUUUUUUCCCCACGGGACGAAUUAAUUUCAUUUUCUAAGGUCUUAACAUACGUCCACGAAAAAUUUUGGGUAAAAAAUUUCCAUGGAUUAUACCAUAUGAAAAUCAGAAGAAUCUGCGUUUACCUACUUUGGACUCGUUUGAACUUGAAAAUGCACUUGUUUUCCUGAUGGGAUAAAUUGGGUCCAAUCCUAAGAUCUUAACAGACGUCCAUAAAAACUUUCGGCCAUUUUGUUUCAGGAAUUUCAGGUCACAAAAAUUCAUGCACUAUAGCAAAUGAAAAUUGACAAAAUUUGCAUUUACCUACUUUGGGCUCAUUUGAACUUGAAAAUGAGUCUGUUUUCCCGCGGAUAAACUGAGUACAUUCCUAAGGUCUUACGAAUGUCCACGAGAAAUUUCGGUCAUUUUAUUUCAGAAGUUCCGGGUCACAAAAGAAUUCAUAGACUAUUGCACAUGAAAAUUGGUUAAAUCUGUGUUUACUUGCUUUAUGGCUCGUUUGAACUUGAAAUGCGUCGAUUUUCAUGCGGGACAAACUGGUUACAUUCCAAAACUCUUAACGGACAUUCCCCAAAAAUUUCAAAAAUUUCGGGUCACAAAAAUUUCAUGGACUAUGACAUAGGAAAAUCAGCAAAAUCUGCGUUUACCUGCUUUGGGGCUCGUUUGAACUUAAAAAUUCAUCCGUUUUUCCCAUUGGACAAAUUGGGUACAUUUCAAAGGUUUUAACAAUUGUCCACCAAAAAUAUCGAUCAUUUCAUUUAGGUAAUUUCCAGGUCAAAAAAAUUUCAUGGACUAUAUCACACGAAAAUUGGUAAAAUCUGCAUUUUUUCUACUUUGGAGCUCGUUUAAACUUGAAAAUUCAACCGUUUUUCUCGUGGAACAAACUUGGUAUAUUCCUAAGGUCUUAAUGGAUGUCCACGAAAAAUUUUGACCAUUUCAUUUUGAAAAUUUUGAAAAUUCUGGUUCACAAAAAUUUCAUCAACUAUAACACUCGAAAAACGACAAACUCUGCGAUUACAUGUUUUGGGAUUGUUUGAGCUUGAAACGUUGUCCUUUUUCCCCACGGGAUAAAGUGGGUACAUUGCUAAGGUCUUAAAGGGAUGUCCACAAAAUAUGUUGGUAAUUUCAUUUCGAAAAUUAUGGUCACAAAAAUUUUAUGAACUAUAACACACAAAAAUUUGACAAAUUUGCAUUUAUCUGCUUUGGUGCUCGUUUAAACUUGAAUAUGCAUCUGUUUUUCCUGUAGGACAAACUGAGUACAUUCCUAAGGUCUUACGUGACAUUCAAAAAAAAAUUUGAUCAUUUGUUUAUUUUUUUUCAAAUACACCGUUUCUAACUAAAGCAAAACAACUAUAAGAACAUAACCAAAAUUAAAGUCUAGACUAUGAACUCAAAGAACCUAAGAUGAUCCUAAGAAUAAGCAAAAUUGGAUGGAACAGGAGCUAGCAACUCAUGUAAUUAUUCUACUAAGAUUCAUGUCACGAAAUCCACCUGAUAACGCUAAUGGUGGAUCCUAGUCCUUUCUUGCAUAUGGUGGUCAGUCUGGAAGGAAAGAAACAAUAAAUGUUUUGAGAAUAUUACUAAUCCAAUGUAGAUGGUAAAAGAAAACUGCAUCAAUACUUUAUAUUUUCGGUGUAUAGAAGAGGGUAUAGAUGAAGUAUAAUAACUUCUAGACUUCUUGGGCUCUCUGUAAUUAUAAUUAUUUGCACUGUAAUAUUUUUGAUGGUUGACAACAUACCCACAUUGUAGAGGAAUAUAACUUUACCUGGCUAAAAUAAAUAAAUAUAUACAAAUAAAUUCAAACAACUAUAUAUGAGCACAUAUAACCAAAACUAAAACUAAGCAAAUUGGAUAGAAGAGGAGCUUGCAACUCAUGUAAUUAUUCUACCAAGAUUCAUGCCGCGAAAUCCAUAAGACAAUGCUACUGACUCACAUCUAAAACCUAUCCAAACUGAACCAAAAUAAAUUCAAACAUAUUCAGGAGCUAGACAAACUAUUUUUGAUCAAAUUGAACAUUAGAACUUGAAGCCUCACAUCAUCAAAUAGCAAUUGAGAACAAUCAGAUGUAGAUAUACAACAACUAAGUUAGAAGAUGCGUAAAGAAACGUAAUAAGUACCCAAGAACAGGAAUACUACAAGAUUGAGCAAAAUUUCCAUAUUUUGAAUAAUGAUUACAACACUUAAAACAGAAAUCGAGCCACACUUGGAGAAAAAGGUAAACAAUCAGAUUUUACAGCCCCAUUUUGAGAACCCAGAACAGUUCCAGCAGAUGAAAGAGGUAGACACACUUGGAGACGAGCUAUCAAUAAAACCUAUGGGAAAAGUUAAAACGAAACAAAGACGAACUACUAUCAUAACCAUACCAAAAUAAAAAUUGGAACACCAAGACAUCAUAUAUGCAGGGACAAAGAAGAUUAUACGGUAUCUUUUAACACAGAUAGAAAACUAUCACGAUCAAAUCGAAAACUACUACCAAAAGCGCAAAUAAGCAGUGGAGCGAUAAAACAUAUAAUAGGGACACUUAAUAUUGCGACAGAAUGAACGACAAACCAGCAUGUUAGAUCAUUAUAUAGAUAAGAAGUAUAAAAAUAGACAUCUUUUAUCAAGCCACACGUCAAUAUAAGAGAAAAAUAAAAUCACAAAGGGAGACCAUAAGAUAGAAGAAAAGAUUUGAUCACGAAAUGAGUCUACAUGUGAAGAGUUUCAAUCAAGGGCAGGGGAUGUGGUCCUAGUGGAAGCUUCUUGUUACAUUUGUUGCUUAUUGCAGACAAACGGACCAAAGUGCAGGAAAGUAGCAAUCCACCUACAAUGGCGACAUAAUCAAUUGUUUUCUUCGUUGAACUAGCUAUGCCUUUCUGCUUUCAUUAUUAUACACCCCCUUAAUUUCAAUGCAAUAAAUAUGUUAUUCCUUGGUUGGAAUAAAAUGUAGGAUUUCCAAAUAAUUUAAAUGAGGCCAUAUGAAAAUAUCAAUAAAAAUAAUAAUUGUACUACACUAUAUUAUUGUUGUUGUUUUAACAAAUCUUUAUAAAUAUGUAGUAAAUAAUUAAAUUCAACAUUAAUAGUCACAUUCACGCGGUAAAUAAGUGACAGUUUUGAGCAAUAAGAUGACAUAUCUGUUUGGUUGGGGUUAGCAUUGAUUCGGUCUGAAAAAUCCUACUUUAAAGGUAAGCGGGCAACCUCUUUAUUGCCAAUACUAUCAGUCAAUCUCGAUUAUAUUGCCUAAUUUUCUCUCUUUAACCAUCAUAUUACCACAAGGAAAAGGUUAAGGUGUGCAGUUAGGACCCUGACAGCAAAGUUAUAAAUCAAUUUAAAGCCAAACUUUAACAAAUCAAGAACAAGAUAUGACGAGUUAACACCAAAAUAAGCAUGGAUAGCAUUCAAGUAAUGCGAUAACACAAAUCACCCUACGAGAUUAAGCUAACAUAGAUGAGAAUCUAUAACAACGAAAGAGAAGACAACCAAGAUAACAAUCAAACAAAUUGUACAACCAGUGCACUCAAGAUCACAACCAAACAAACAUUAGAUCAUUUCAAGAUUUAGCUAGCUUUCAGAACAUGAUUAUGCUACAUCAAAGCCAUGAAACCGAUUCAACACUUUACAUACAACAUGUCAUGUCCCCCCACUUCAUAGUUUAAAUAUGACACCGAAAUAAGGGGAAAAAUCUAGAGUUGUAAGGAGGUUAGUAGAACACUCUAUAAUUCGCUAGAGAAUUUUCCAAAAGACUCCAGAAUAACUUAGAAGCUUUCUUGUAAAGCUUUAGAAUUUCCUAGAAUUAGUAGAGAAUUCUAGAACAUGGACUAAAGUGUAAUAAGUAGGGACUUGUAAAGUAAAUGAUAUUUUACACUUAGGCCCUUGUGAAGUAGUAUAAAUAGAAAAACUUCUCAUUUGUAAGGCAUUCAACCAAAUUGUAAGCAAUACACGUCUUCUUCCAAAAGCUUUUAAGUCUUUCAUUACAUUUUCUUAGCGAUCUUAGUUUAAAGGGCUUACUUAGCUUACAAGAUUGUGAAAAAAUUCGUGAAUACUUUUGUCAAGUGCAUCACGGAACAUAAGCUCGUGAUAACGACUCAUAACAUUCUUAGUAAAACAAAUAAAAAGAAGGCGAAAAAUAAAGAAAAACGACUCAUAAAAUUCUUAGUAAAACAAAUAAAAAGAAGGCGAAAAAUAAAGAAAAACGACUCAUAAAAUUCUUAGUAAAACAAAUAAAAAGAAGGCGAAAAAUAAAGAAAAAGAUACCUCAUAUGGAGCAGCGAUCCAUGACGACACAGGAAUAAAGCAGUAGCGUCAAAUGCUCGAAUAGAAGAAAAACGAACUCCGAUUGUGUAUUUUUGCCUAUAUAGUAACCUUCUCCUUUGUUUUUCAACUCUAAUUUUUAUUUUUCAAACCUUUUGAACGAUGAAGUAAGGAGGUUUAUAUAGGUCAAAUUUGGGGUGGGGGAAUGAACGUUAGGAUGGGAAAAUUCAGAACGUCCAAAUUGUUGUGGAUUUUAAC
rnacentral:lncRNA from 1 species